rnacentral:lncRNA from 1 species
UCUCUAUGGUUCUGAGUUCCCAUCUCUCUGGUUCUGAUUUCUAUGGUUCUGAUUUCUAUGGUUCUGAUUUCUAUGGUCCCCAUCUCAAUGGUUCCCAUCUCCAUACUUUCUGCUCACGGAUUCCUCUCUGAUUCCCAUCUCUAUGGUUCCUGUCUCUCUGAGUUCCCAACUCUCUGGUUCCCCUCUCCAUGGUUCCCAUCUCAAUGGUUCCCCUCUCCAUGGGUUCCCAUCUCCAUGCUUUCUGCUCUCUGAUUCCCCUCUCUAUGGUUCCUGUCUCUGUUCCCAUCUCAAUGGUUCCCCUCUCCAUGGUUCCCCUCUCUGCUUCCCGUCUCAAUGGUUCCCCUCUCUUUGGUUCCCAUCUCAAUGGUUCCCCUCUCUCUGCUCCCCAUCUCCAUACUUUCUGCUCACUGAUUCCUCUCUGAUUCCCCUCUCUAUGGUUCCUGUCUCUCUGAGUUCCCAACUCUCUGGUUCCCCUCUCUCUGGUUCCCAUCUCAAUGGUUCCCCUCUCUCUGCUUCCUAUCUCAAUGGUUCCCCUCUCUCUGGGUUUCCAUCUCCAUGGUUUCUGUCCCUGUGGUUCUCCUCUCUUGGUUCCCCUAUGAAUUCCCAUCCCCAUGGUUCCCAUCCCCACGGUUCUGCUCUCUCAGGUUCCUCU